UGGUGGGUAGUUUGACUGGGGCGGUCUCCUCCUAAAGAGUAACGGAGGAGCACGAAGGUUGGCUAAUCCUGGUCGGACAUCAGGAGGUUAGUGCAAUGGCAUAAGCCAGCUUGACUGCGAGCGUGACGGCGCGAGCAGGUGCGAAAGCAGGUCAUAGUGAUCCGGUGGUUCUGAAUGGAAGGGCCAUCGCUCAACGGAUAAAAGGUACUCCGGGGAUAACAGGCUGAUACCGCCCAAGAGUUCAUAUCGACGGCGGUGUUUGGCACCUCGAUGUCGGCUCAUCACAUCCUGGGGCUGAAGUAGGUCCCAAGGGUAUGGCUGUUCGCCAUUUAAAGUGGUACGCGAGCUGGGUUUAGAACGUCGUGAGACAGUUCGGUCCCUAUCUGCCGUGGGCGCUGGAGAACUGAGGGGGGCUGCUCCUAGUACGAGAGGACCGGAGUGGACGCAUCACUGGUGUUCGGGUUGUCAUGCCAAUGGCACUGCCCGGUAGCUAAAUGCGGAAGAGAUAAGUGCUGAAAGCAUCUAAGCACGAAACUUGCCCCGAGAUGAGUUCUCCCUGAGACUUUAGGUCUCCUGAAGGAACGU
rnacentral:rRNA from 1 species